ACGAACAGAGAGACACAAACACAUGAGUGAAAGAGAAAUCGCAUCUGAUCAGCGACGCAUGCACUGACUUAUGGACAUCCAAAUAACAGUUUGAGAGUGCGUGCGUGAUUUAAACACAAACAUCUGAAGAACAGCGAGUCUCGAAGCGACGAUUGCAGGAGAAAUAAAAGAGGAUGAAAUAAAAACAAAAGAUGAAAUCGUAGAUGCGCGGAACCGUUCUGUCAGAGGAGACGCGGGAAGCGCGCGCAGGUUCGUGCAGGGCGGGAGCGCGCGCUCUCCUGUGACAGGUGAGUCUGCAGGUAUACAGGUGAGACUUCAGGACUUUUAAAAACAUAACGGUGCAGUGAUGUUCUUGCCGUGAUUCAUGUUAUUUUCCAGUCGAAACUGAAAGAAUGAAACGCAUCGGCGAGAUUUCGGAGGGAUUCCGACACAUUUAAGGGCGUGAAUGCGCUUCUCUCUCUGCAUUCUUUCAUUCUUUCAUUCUUUCUUCUGCUGUGAUUCACGCUUUAGUGCUGAAGUGUUCAGAGGGAGACACUGCUUCUGCUCGGAUAAUGAAGACAUCAGCUCUGAUUCAUGCUUUUGUUCAACAUCACUGUAAUCUAUAAUCAAUCAGAGCUGCGACGUGAUUGGCUGAAUUCCUGCUACUGUACAUCUGAGAGGAAGAUCCAAUCAGACAGCACUUCAUCUGCAUAUUUGACAAACUCACAGUUAUCUGAACGAGUGACUAAUCAGUUUAAGGAAACAUUGAAUAAUUAGGCUGGUUUGGGUUCAGCUGAUCUGAUCGUCUACAUAAGACAAGUUCAAACAGCAACACUCGACUAUUUUAACAUGAUAUCUAAAAAUUCACCCUGUGUGUUUUUCUAAAUGAUCUUACUGUGAAUGAUCAGUUUCAUUAUUUUGACAAUUAUAAUUUAUAAUCAGAAGUCAAUCCUGCAUCUUUCAGUGAAACGACAGUUUUCCCUCUUGUGAAGUUUGCAGGAUUCUCCAAUCAUUUCGUCUGGUUUAAACUCCGCCCCUUCACUGCAUUCAGCCCCGCUUCCAGUUGUGAGUGCCACGCCCAUGUCUCAACAUCCAAUCAACAACCUGCAGAGAGAACCAAGUUUCCACCCUACAUGUUUUAUUUGUCACUCAGAAUACAGAAAUUAAAAAAAAAAAAAAAAAAAAAAACCCUUUCCUUUUGUCAUAACUUUAAAAACGCAACAUUCAAAAACAUCAGUCUGAGUGUGUCUGGCUGUAACGACAGCGGAUUAAUUUCAAGAGAAAACUGUAAUCACAGCACACUGUCAGCAUGAUAUAAUAAAAAAAUGUGAAAGUAAAAAGUAAAUAAACUUUUCAACUAUCCCUGAUUUACUGUACAAUAACUUCUGCACACAAAAAGAUCAGGAUGUUCUGUGUGGAUCAGAACUAGAAAAAUAAUGUAAUGAUGAAGCAUGAACUUCAGCACCUGUUGGGCUCAGUGUGUGUGUGUGUGU